rnacentral:rRNA from 1 species
GACGAACGCUGGCGGCGUGCCUAAUACAUGCAAGUAGAACGCUGAAGGAGGAGCUUGCUUCUCCGGAUGAGUUGCGAACGGGUGAGUAACGCGUAGGUAACCUGCCUGGUAGCGGGGGAUAACUAUUGGAAACGAUAGCUAAUACCGCAUAACAGUAGAUGUUGCAUGACAUUUGCUUAAAAGGUGCAAUUGCAUCACUACCAGAUGGACCUGCGUUGUAUUAGCUAGUUGGUGAGGUAACGGCUCACCAAGGCGACGAUACAUAGCCGACCUGAGAGGGGGGUCGGCCACACUGGGACUGAGACACGGCCCAGACUCCUACGGGAGGCAGCAGUAGGGAAUCUUCGGCAAUGGACGGAAGUCUGACCGAGCAACGCCGCGUGAGUGCAGAAGGUUUUCGGAUCGUAAAGCUCUGUUGUAAGAGAAGAACGAGUGUGAGAGUGGAAAGUUCACACUGUGACGGUAUCUUACCAGAAAGGGACGGCUAACUACGUG